rnacentral:misc_RNA from 1 species
UCUCCGUUGGUGAACCAGCGGAGGGAUCAUUACUGAGUUUACGCUCUACAACCCUUUGUGAACAUACCUACAACUGUUGCUUCGGCGGGUAGGGUCUCCGUGACCCUCCCGGCCUCCCGCCCCCGGGCGGGUCGGCGCCCGCCGGAGGAUAACCAAACUCUGAUUUAACGACGUUUCUUCUGAGUGGUACAAGCAAAUAAUCAAAACUUUUAACAACGGAUCUCUUGGUUCUGGCAUCGAUGAAGAACGCAGC